UGCCUCCUACGGGAGGCAGUAGUGAGGAAUAUUGGUCAAUGGGAGGAAUCCUGAACCAGCCAUGCCGCGUGCAGGACGACGGCUCUACGAGUUGUAAACUGCUUUUGUACCGGGGUAAAAUGCCUUACGAGUAGGGUUUUGAAAGUACGGUACGAAUAAGGAUCGGCUAACUCCGUGCCAGCAGCCGCGGUAAUACGGAGGAUCCGAGCGCUAUCCGGAUUCAUUGGGUUUAAAGGGUGCGUAGGUUGUUUUAUAAGUUAGCGGUGAAAUAUCGAUGCUCACCAUC
rnacentral:rRNA from 1 species